rnacentral:rRNA from 1 species
AAGCUCGUAGUUGAAUUUCGGGGUCAGUAGGUUGGUCGUGCCACCGGUACGUACUGAUCUCACUGAUUCCUCCUUCCUGAUGAGCUGUAAUGCCAUUAAUUUGGUGUUGCAGGGAAUCUGGACUGUUACUUUGAAAAAAUUAGAGUGUUUAAAGCAGGCUAACGCUUGAAUACAUUAGCAUGGAAUAAUGAAAUAGGACGUUCGAUCCUAUUUUGUUGGUUUCUAGGAUUGACGUAAUGAUUAAUAGGGAUAGUUGGG